UACGGAGGGGGGCUAGCGUUGUUCGGAAUUACUGGGCGUAAAGCGCGCGUAGGCGGACCUGCAAGUCGGGGGUGAAAGCCCGAGGCUCAACCUCGGAACUGCCUUCGAUACUGCGGGUCUCGAGUCCGGGAGAGGUGAGUGGAAUUCCUAGUGUAGAGGUGAAAUUCGUAGAUAUUAGGAAGAACACCAGUGGCGAAGGCGGCUGCUCUGGGACGGUACUGACGCUGAGACGCGAAAGCGUGGGGAGCGAACAGG
rnacentral:rRNA from 1 species